rnacentral:rRNA from 1 species
GGGUUAGUAGGUUGGUCAUGCCUCUGGUAUGUACUGGUCUCACUGAUUCCUCCUUCCUGAUGAACCGUAAUGCCAUUAAUUUGGUGUUGCGGGGAAUUUGGACUGUUACUUUGAAAAAAUUAGAGUGUUUAAAGCAGGCAUUUUUGCUCGAAUACAUUAGCAUGGAAUAAUAAAAUAGGACGGCUUGGUUCUAUUUUGUUGGUUUCUAGGAUCACCGUA